UACAUGUGGGGCAAGCGUUGUUCGGAAUUACUGGGCAUAAAGGGUGCGUAGGCGGCUUGUUAAGUCAGGGGUGAAAUCCCACGGCCCAACCGUGGAACUGCCUUUGAUACUGGCGAGCUUGAGUGCGUGAGGGGUAACCGGAACGAGUAGUGUAGCGGUGAAAUGCGCAGAUAUCAGGAGGAACACCGGUGGCGAAGGCGGGUCUCUGGGCCGUAACUGACGCUGAGGAGCGAAAGCGUGGGGAGCAAACAGG
rnacentral:rRNA from 1 species